rnacentral:lncRNA from 1 species
CUCGCAGCACCAAUCAGCCUGUCUCCAGGCUUUUUCGGUUGCCUGGUUCUUUGUAGCAGGAAUCUGCCGGGUGCUAAUUUGACGCGCUGUUGAGAUAAAAGGGGGGGACUCAUGUUAGUUUCAGCAUCAGAGGAUCGGAAUGCAGGCUAUUUAACGCAGGAGUCAGACAAUCCCCACGGCCGGGGACAGCCCCCACCCGGACAGAUCGGCUAAAUAAAUAGAGGAGUAAUUAACAGAGCAUCGAGAGGACAGGCAUUACUGGGAGAGCGUUUUCAUUACAGCUCACGCAGGAGAGAAGGAGAGGCGGAGAGAGGGAGGGAGGUGGAGGGGACAAGGGGAAGAGAGAAAGUGAGGGCUGAGGAAUAGAGAAAGAAAGAGGUGGAGAGAAAGAGUAGACGGAAGAGUGAAAUACAGGGUCGGUUAUGACGGGAGAGAGUGGUUGUUGUAUAGAGUGAAAGAAAGGGGAGGAGGGAGAGAGUUGAAAAGAGAGAAAAAUUGUUGAAAGAAAGUGACAUUCAGGGACAGUUAUGGAAGGAAGGGGAGUGGUAGGGAAGAAGAGAGUAGGAGAAAGUGGGUAUGAGAAAGAGAGAGUGUGAGGAGGCAGAAAACAAGAGUGGUGUGGGGAGAAAGGGACAAGGAAAGAAGAGUGAGUUAGCAACAGUGUUUGGUCAUAAAAAGUAUAGCACCUGCUGUGCAUCAUCAGCUCAAUAAUAAAUCGCAACAUACACAUCAUGACUGCUAAAUAUGUAGAAAGAGACUAAAAGUAAUUCUCUGAGUGCAUCUUGAUAUGUGGUGUUCUGACUGGUUAAUGUCCCUGACGGCUUAAUGAGAUUAUAACAGUAUUCAGGAACAAUCAAGGCUCUGUUGCAGUGAGCAGCUGCCAUACUGUACAUCUGACUAAAUGCAUGCUAUAGUUAUUGUAUACAUAGGCCCUACUGUCCAUGUUUUGUAAAGUACUUACCUCUGAUCUGGCGGACUCACAAAAUAAACCCACAUGCUUUGUUUGUAAAUUAUGUCUGAGUGUUGGAGUGUGCCCCUGGAUAUCCGUAAAUUAAAAAAACACAAAAAUUGUGCCUUCUGUUUGCUUAAAACCUCAACGGGAUCGGUAUGACUGUGUGUCCAGGCUGACUGAGGGGAAUACGCUCUUUUCCG